AGUUAUAAGGAACUACAAGAAUAAAUGCUCCCUGGCCUUGAGCACUACAAAGCCUUUAUCACACCAAGACAAUAGAGGCUUCUGGAAGGGAGUGAACUUGAGAAACUUACAGAGUUUGAGGCCAAGAAGACAUUCUGUACAGAGCACAAAAGUAAUAUACAGAACAAUCCUCCCACCCCAACUCCCAGCUCCAGUGGUGUGGAUCUUGGAUUUUGUAAGCCAUCUUCCUGCAUUGGAAUCUCAACACAUUGCCAGUUGUGUGGGCUUGGGAUAAGAACAUAACCUGCAUUGACACAGUACCCAGGAUGGUGCUGGGCAGGACAAGAGCUCAAGGAGUUUUCCUGAUUGUUUGGCUGAUAUUUU